rnacentral:rRNA from 1 species
UGGAACGAGAAAGUGGAGCAAUCCAUGAGUAACAGUGGCGUACGGGUGAGUAACACGUGACUAACNUACCUUCGAGUGGGGAAUAACUUCGGGAAACCGGGGCUAAUACCGCAUAACAUGUACGGAUCAAAUGCGCAAGCAGCUUGAGGAGGGGGUCGCGGCCGAUUAGCUAGUUGGUGGGGUAAUGGCCCACCAAGGCAAUGAUCGGUAGCCGGCCUGAGAGGGCGCACGGCCACACUGGAACUGAAACACGGUCCAGACUCCUACGGGAGGCAGCAGUGGGGAAUUUUGCGCAAUGGGGGAAACCCUGACGCAGCAACGCCGCGUGGAGGAUGAAGCCCUUUGGGGUGUAAACUCCUUUCGAUCGGGACGAUGAUGACGGUACCGGAAGAAGA